UACGGAGGAUACAAGCGUUAUCCGGAUUUAUUGGGUUUAAAGGGUGCGCAGGCGGACCGGUAAGUCAGGGGUGAAAUACUGCAGCUCAACUGCAGCCGUGCCUUUGAUACUGCCGGACUGGAGUCCAAGGGACGUGACUGGAAUGUGAUGUGUAGCGGUGAAAUGCUUAGAUAUGUCACAGAACGCCGAUCGUGAAGACAGGUCACGAACUUGGCACUGACGCUCAUGCACGAAAGCGUGGGUAUCAAAC
rnacentral:rRNA from 1 species